UCUCAACCUUGUGGAUUACUGAGUCAGAGAGCAGGACCCUGUAGUCCGCAAACCCCCCUCCACAUCAGGAUCCCAUACAAAUCUGGAGCUCGAUGGCUGCAUGCAACGCCUAUAAGAGCUUAGACUCCAGAUUAAUAUUUUUCUAAAUCUAUGUUAACUUUCAAAAACAGGGAAUAGGAUGCGACAAACGCGGCUGGAGGUGGAUGAACGCAUCUGAUGUGGAAACGCGACAAGUGGCUCCUUUUAUGUAGAAGGAUGUCAGCCUUUUCUGCCUGACUGUUUCCGAGAACGCUUGAUGUCAAAUUGUCUACCUGAUCAUUUCGCUACCAACUUUCCUCCACAAUGCUGCUCCACCACUCAUGAUGCUUGGCUGACCCCGUCUCUGACACCAUCAUGUUAUUGUAUGCUACAACCCAGCAGGCUGUUCUUCUUCUCUCCUUCCUGCAGCCAUAAGCUCAGGCAACAAUUCCUCUGCUUGGAUGAUGAUUUCUGCUGCUGCUCAGUGAACAGAAAGCCCCACAAAUCAUCUUUCAGCAUCUGCCACUGUUUACUACUCCUGCUUGUAUUUCUUUCAGUGUUGCUUGAAGUUUAAAGAGGCAAUGCAGCAGUAAAUGGAAAUAAAUUUAACAUGCACAGCUUUUUAAAAGCAGCCUGGUGUCUUUCAUAGCUGUAGUUAACAUGUAUUAGUAUGUUUAUGAGUAAAAAUAAAUGAUUUAUUUUUUACAUGCAAUUCUGGGGUAUUACAAAAUAUUUUAAGUAGAACCUAUUCAGUUAUGUAAUACUUAUUAAUGUUCUUAGGUUUAUUUCUGCUAUUAUUUACCAGGUUUAUGUCAUUAUGUAUCUUCAGUCUAGUUUUCUUUAGUAUUUAUGAAUGAUUCUUUUGGUGGCAAAAUAAUAAUAUAUAACUGUCUCUUUUUCCACACAUAAUGUCACGCAAAAAUGUUCAUAAUCUUCAAACAUUUAGUCAUGUUACUAAUGGGAUUUAAUAUGAGACACCAACACAAAUAGUGCAUAAUUAUGAAAAUGAAGGAAAAUGACGCAUGGCUUUCAAAACGUUUUCCAAAUAAAAAUGUGAAAUAUG